CAUCAGAAGCAUGGCCCCGCUCUGUACACAUAAACAGAAGAGGCGACAGCCUUCAGGAUGACCUCACAGGUUAGCAGAGGAGCCAGACAGAGGAAGCUCAGGCACAGAGGACGAGGAGCAAGCUGGCGCCGACAUGGCGAAGGCAAGGUCUUCCCCCAGAGGCACAUUCCUCUCCAUCUUUCCACCGCACACCUGGACCAGGCUUGCAGGCUGCCAGACGUCACUCCACCCGCCAGGGAGAGGGGAGCCAGAGCCGGUGGGAAGCGGGGAGGGGCUGCGUGGCACAGCUGGUGGGCCUCCCCCUGCACAGCCCUGCAUGUACUAGCACCUUCAUCACUCCCCUCAGGGCGUGGUCUCCGCAUCAGGAAUUCACCUGGAGGUUGAAAAGAGAAAAGAAAAAGCACU
rnacentral:sRNA from 1 species